rnacentral:ncRNA from 1 species
AUUAAUUCGCCACCGGGUGAAAGCUUAUGCUAGUUUUGUAUCGUUAGGUCUUUGAAGAUACAACAUUAGCAUUUUUUUAAAU